CCUCAGUUCCGGCCGAUGUCGGUCACCUCUAGCGCUACCGCACGCCGCUGCUCUCCUACACGGCCAACCCACAGUCUCCUACACCGGCUCCCCUUCACCGCGACGCCGCCCUUUACCUGCUCGCACCCUCGCGGCUAACCCUAACCCAUUCUGGCUAGGUCGACGAUGCGGCUCCUGCGUACAUGCGCCUCCGUGUCGCUGGCUAGGUCGCCGAUGCGGCUCUGUCACUGGCGCGAUUCCGGCACCGCCGCGCCUCAUGCUGCUCCAGUACGUCAUCUACAACCUCUUCCUCGACCCUCAGGCUCCCGCUCCUCUGUCUCGAGAUCAUCUGUCUAAUGCAGAGUUUGAGGGCGACUCUAUCGUCGUCAUGUACGGCUAGGCGGUCCCCGUCGAGGAAACCGAGACCAGGAUCAACGUCUAAGCAGACGCAUGGUCGAGUACUGCACCAUCAACAAGCAGGUACAAUGUUGAAGAUUGGGAUCAAGUGAAGGUCACGAUGAUCACAUUGUGAUGGUGUCUGAAUUGGAAACAUGGUGAUGAUACUAUGAUGAACAUGCACUAGAUACUAUGAUGACACUGUUUAUAGUGUGUAACUGAUAUUGUAUGAUAAUUACGGAAUAAAGUGCACUGGAUUAGUGUGUUGACAC